rfam:Anaerosporobacter mobilis DSM 15930 genome assembly, contig: EJ17DRAFT_scaffold00002.2
UAGCGUAACAUCUAUAUUGUUUUUCUUAGUGUGUGCUUAAUAAGCUAGGUCGGUGAGGCAUGGACGCCGAGCCAGCCUGAACAUGACAGGAUGUCAUGUUGAAGGCGUGUCCGUAUCCUUUUAAACUCACUCUCCCACACACUUAGAUCGAACUCAGGUGCGUAGCGU